GUCAGUCGGAGGUGGCGGCGGCAGUCCUUUCUCCUGUUUCUCAUCUGACCUUCAAAAGCCAUGCACGGGGACAUCUUUAUCAUGCUCCUGUGACACAACCAUUUAUCUUCUGGGAUCAAUAAGCUCUUCACAGUGCGCCGUUUCCUGAGACAAGGCUUUGAAGUGGAUGAGGGAGGUGAGACACCAUGCGCCCAGAUGCCCAGCCGCUGUGGUUAAAGGGUCUUUAUCACGCAGACAAGGGGGACAGCACUCAGCUCUUGCCCUUCUAUCUUUCACCGCGGCAGAAGAGUGAUUUUGACAACCAGCGCUCCCCAGCUGCGCAGGGGCCAGGCCUGCAAAACCACAGGCGGAUAAUGAAUGCCACACCAUCGUGACAACUUGCACUUUUAUGGAAAGGGGAGGAAGGACACUUGUGCUCACAGCGUAUGAUGGGACGUCCUCCAUAAACCAGACAAUCAAAGCGAGGGCAGAUAAGCAUCUGUGGAAUCUGUGACGGGAACCUCCGCUGAUUUAUGGGCACUACUGGAAAAGGUUUCAGACGCAUUGCCUCACCCAAAGCCUGAGGCUAAGCUGCAAUGAGUUGGAAUGAGACCAGAUGAGAGGGAGGAAUGAACUACUGGGACAACUCCUCCACUUCAAAAAGCCUCUCCACUUUUACUUCAGGGGAUUUUGGCUGAGGUUAUGCCACAUGACCUGUUUCUAAUAACAUUUCUUUCUUUUUGCCUUUCUGUAAAACAUGCCACACUGGAGUGGAGUCAUUAAUCUUGUUAAAUCUUUCAUACUAAUAUCUGUUGAGCUGCUUUGACUGCUAAAGUCGCUUGAAAUGAGUCUGAAUCGCUAAUUCACUCCAGUGCCAUUUCAUUUCAUUUCAGCAGUGGCAGAUUUGGACUGCUCUGUGCACAAGAAUAUUUAAAAAAAAAUAUGUGGGCACAGCUACAGCAGGCUAUAUUCAUGCUGUAACCCCAAUCCAUUCAAGUUCACAACACACUGGCUGGAAAUCCCCACCUCAUGACUGAGCUUCCUGGUUACUGGCUGGUGGAGGCGCCUUUUUUUCUUCUUCUUCUCCUCUCCCUCUCUCAUUCUUUUCUUUAAACAUUAACAAGCCAGGAAAAUAUUAUCUAAUCAUAACUAAAAGGCUAACUGUGUACAUCCUGAAUUCACCCUGGUGAGCUGGCAAAAAUAAAAGAGAGAAAAUGCGGGCUGUAAAGUCGCUCCAAUAAGCCUGUAA
ensembl:lncRNA